UACAGAGGGGGCAAGCGUUAUUCGGAAUUAUUGGGCGUAAAGGGCGCGUAGGCGGCUAGGCAAGUCAGGUGUGAAAGCCCCGAGCUUAACUCGGGAAUUGCAUCUGAAACUGCUGUGCUUGAGUUCUGGAGGGGGUAGUGGAAUUCCCAGUGUAGCGGUGAAAUGCGUAGAUAUUGGGGAGGAACACCUGCGGCGAAGGCGGCUACCUGGACAGAAACUGACGCCUGAGG
rnacentral:rRNA from 1 species